UUUUUUACAUCCACAAUAAAAAUUAUAAAAAAAAAUUCAACACUAAACAAAAAUUACAUUACUUAAUUUCAAAAUUACAAAAUAGUCUGUAAAACUCAAGAAAACAAUUCUGGGAAGCAUUCUGGGUCUGCCUGAACAGUAGCGGCACGUUGCUCCAUGCCCCGCCGCCAAUGGUGGCGCGUAGGUUCACGAUCCGCCGCUGAUGAAGACCGAAAACCAGUGGAUCGGGAACGUCUUCUUCUUCCCUGUCUUUCUCCGCCGACGGUGAGGGUCACCGUUACCUGCAACAUUAAGAAAAACGCACAAAAAAUAGUCGGUUUUAGUUUUUUUUUUUCUUUUGUUUUUCCAGAUCUGCCUCUCUCUACAGCUACCUUUCUUUUUUGUUUCCCCUUUUUCUCUAUUUCAAGCGGCUAGUUCUGAGGUCCGGGAGUUUGUGGCUUGUGGGCGACGUAUUUUGUCGUGCUUGGACUGCCACUGGAGAAGGGCCGACUGAUCUGAGUCGGUGGGCGCCGCUGUUCUUGGGCUGCUAGUGUGGGAGGAGAUGGGGGUCCGUGAGCUGAAGGAUGUGAAAAGGGGGCAAUCUGUGAAGGCCGGCGAUGGGGCUGCUUCCGCGGGCGCCACUGUGUGUAGGCAGCUGCUGGAGGCCGGUUGAAGGAGGGCAAGCUAGGUUUGUCGGGUAGAGAUGGGAAGACGGUGGCUGGUUUUUUGCAAGGAGGAAGAUGAGGGAGUAGGGGGUAGUUGUGGGUCCGUUGUUUUGGCAGAGGGAGAUGAACGACGGGUGUUGGUCAGCCGCUGGGGAAGAGGAAGAAGGAGAAAAAAAAAUCCAAAGAGGGGCUGGCGGCUGCCUUUUUGGUAAGGGAAAAGAAAAAUUAAGCUUUUAGGGUGUUAUUUUUUUUGAGUUGCCUCCCCCUUCAAAUGUCAAAAUUACCCCCUUUUGGUUUUGAGUUUUGAACCUAUAUUUAUAGGUAAAAUAUUGUUCG
rnacentral:lncRNA from 1 species